rnacentral:ncRNA from 1 species
GAGCAUGUGGUUUAAUUCGAUGCAAAGCGAAGAACCUUACCAGGGCUUGACAUGCCGUGAAUCCUCUUGAAAGAGAGGGGUGCCCUCGGGAACACGGACACAGGUGGUGCAUGGCUGUCGUCAGGCGCGAUUGGCAGCCUCUCUGGAUAUAGUCCGGCGAGGUCUCUUUGUCCUGAAGAAAGCACGAGUGUUA